AGUUUCCGAAGGUAGUGAGUUACCUCACUUGAUUGUUCACAGCCCAUUACAGAUUGAACUCCUUGUUCUACUACUUUGCUCCCUCCUCACUACUGCACUUGACUAGUCUUUA
rnacentral:Y_RNA from 1 species